GCUGCACUAGAGAAAUGGUAACUCGCCGGCCUCCUAAGCCGGAGAUUCUGGGUUCGAGUCCCGGGUGCAGUG